rnacentral:tRNA from 1 species
GCCUUCGUGGUGUAGUGGUCAGCACGCUGGGCGCGUAUUCCAGAGGUCCGUGGUUCGAGUCCGGAGAAGGUG